ACCAGCCGACGAGUCCCAAAUAGGACGAAACGCGCGUCCUGGAU
rnacentral:hammerhead_ribozyme from 1 species